UUCAAAGCUCCAUAAUUUUACCGCUGCUCACAGUAAAAAUAAGUACAUAUGUACAUAAAGUUCUAUUAGAGUGCGUUGGUUUACCGGUCCUACGUCUAAAACGGAGUGAUAUUUAAUACGAAGCUUACCCAGACGGACAGACACACGGAUAGACAGGCAGACAGUCACCCGGAUCUUAUACCCUGUUGCAGCAGGAUGCAAGAGUAUAAAAAUUCGACCCGCAGUACAGGUUUUGCACGUAUAAGCACAUAUCCCUAAACUCCAAUAAUGAAAGUGAUUACAUAGUAUUAUAAGUUGUUAAAUGUGUAAUGAGCCAUUAAUAUUAUUACACAAUAAUAAAUCUAAGGGGUACAUGACAAAUAAUGCAAUAAAUAAAGAAACCGUAACAUAACUGAA
rnacentral:lncRNA from 1 species